ACACGUAGGGGGCGAGCGUUGUUCGGAAUCAUUGGGCGUAAAGGGCGUGCAGGCGGUCGUGCAAGUCCGGCGUGAAAGACCCCGGCCCAACCGGGGGGACGCGCUGGAAACUGCAGGGCUUGAGUACAGGAGGGGAUGCCGGAAUUCCAGGUGUAGGGGUGAAAUCUGUAGAUAACUGGAAGAACACCAAUGGGGAAGGCAGGCAUCUGUCCAGGUACAUGCGCUGAGACGCGGAGGUGCGGGUAGCAAACAGGAUUAGAUGCCCUUGUAGGCCGCACAAUAAACGAUGUGCACCAGGUGGCGGGGGGUCGACCCCCGGUACCGUAGCUAACGCAUUAAGUGCACCGCCUGGGGAGUAUGCUCGCAAGGGUGAAACUCAAAUGAAUUGACGGGG
rnacentral:rRNA from 1 species